CAAGUCGAACGAUUAAAGCUCUCUUCGGAGAGUGCAUAGAGUGGCGCACGGGUGAGUAACACGUAAAUAAUCUACCCUCGAGUGGGGAAUAACGUCCGGAAACGGACGCUAAUACCGCAUAAUGCAGCGGCACCGCAAGGUGACAGUUGUUAAAGAUUUAUUGCUUGAGGAGGAGUUUGCGGCAGAUUAGCUAGUUGGUAAGGUAAUGGCUUACCAAGGCUACGAUCUGUAUCCGGUCUAAGAGGACGGUCGGACACACUGACACUGAAUAACGGGUCAGACUCCUACGGGAGGCAGCAGUCGGGAAUUUUGGGCAAUGGGGGAAACCCUGACCCAGCAACGCCGCGUGAAGGAUGAAGUUUUUCGGAAUGUAAACUUCGAAAGAAUAGGAAAAAUUAAUGACGGUACUAUUUAUAAGGUCCGGCUAACUACGUGCCAGCAGCCGCGGUAAUACGUAGGGACCAAGCGUUGUUCGGAUUUACUGGGCGUAAAGGGCGCGUAGGCGGCGUGGUAAGUCAGUUGUGAAAUCUCCGAGCUUAACUCGGAACGGCCAACUGAUACUGCUGUGCUAGAGUGCAGAAGGGGCAAUCAGAAUUCUUGGUGUAGCGGUGAAAUGCGUAGAUCUCAAGAGGAAUACCAGAGGUGAAGACGGGUUGCUAGGCUGACACUGACGCUGAGGCGCGAAAGCCAGGGGAGCAAACGGGAUUAGAUACCCCGGUAGUCCUGGCCCUAAACGAUGAAUACUUGGUGUCUGGAGUUUUUUCGCUCCGGGUGCCGUCGCUAACGUUUUAAGUAUUCCGCCUGGGGAGUACGGUCGCAAGACUGAACUCAAAGGAAUUGACGGGGACCCGCACAAGCGGUG
rnacentral:rRNA from 1 species